rnacentral:rRNA from 1 species
UACAGAGGGUGCAAGCGUUGUUCGGAAUUAUUGGGCGUAAAGCGCGUGUAGGCGGCUUUGCAAGUCGGGUGUGAAAGCCCUCAGCUCAACUGAGGAAGUGCACCCGAAACUGGCAGGCUUGAGUACUAAAGAGGGUCGCGGAAUUCCCGGUGUAGAGGUGAAAUUCGUAGAUAUCGGGAGGAACACCGGUGGCGAAGGCGGCGACCUGGGUAGAUACUGACGCUGAGGUGCGAAAGCGUGGGGAGCAAACAGG